rnacentral:rRNA from 1 species
CAAUAGCGUAUAUUAAAGUUGUUGCGGUUAAAAAGCUCGUAGUUGGAUUUCUGUUGAGAACAGCCGGUCCACCUCUUGGGUGAGUAUCUGGAUUGGUCUCGGCAUCCUCUCGAAACUCGUUGCUGCGCUUGAUUGCGUGGUGCGGUGUUCGGGACUUUUACUUUGAGGAAAUUAGAGUGUUCACGGCAGGCAUUCGCCUUGAAUAUAUUAGCAUGGAAUAAUACUAUAGGAUCUUGGUUCUAUUUUGUUGGUUUCUAGGGCUAAGAUAAUAAUCAAUAGGGACAAUUGGGGGCAUUCGUACUUGACAGUCAGAGGUGAAAUUCUUCGAUUUGUCAAAGACGAACUAAUGCGAAGGCAUCUGCCAAGGAUGUUUUCAUUGAUCAAGAACGAAAGACAGGGGAUCAAAGAUGAUUAGAUACCAU